rnacentral:rRNA from 1 species
UACGUAGGGGGCAAGCGUUGUCCGGAUUUAUUGGGCGUAAAGAGCGUGUAGGCGGCCAUACAGGUCAGCUGUGAAAACUCGAGGCUCAACCUCGAGACGUCGGUUGAAACCGUAUGGCUAGAGUCCGGAAGAGGAGAGUGGAAUUCCCGGUGUAGCGGUGAAAUGCGCAGAUAUCGGGAGGAACACCGGUGGUGUAGACGGCUUUCUGGACCGUAACUGACGCUGAGACACGAAAGCGUGGGUAGCAAACAGG